CCUCUUUUCCCUUUUAUGAACAAAAGCCAAUCUCUCUCACUUCUAAACCAGAAUUUGUAGGCCUAUUUUGGUGAAAGUCUUUAAAAAUCUUCAUCUCUUUCACACGAUUUGGUCAAACGAAAAAAAAACUUUUGGAAGAAAUCCGCGUUUUCAGAGAUUUGAUUCUCUAGUCAAACGAUCAUUUUCGUUCUUCAAGGCCCGCCCCGUCUAACUCGGAAAAAUUAUUCUUUAAAAAUGAUGUACGAAUUACGGCUCAUUUUGACCGCAUUUUUUAUUUUUAAAUAUUGCUCGGAAGUAUAUCAAUAUUGGACUCAUUUUGAAGCUCGUAUCUUAAAACGACGUAUCAUAAUUUUUAUUUCAUCAAAAUAUUAUUUUACAAGGGGCAAAUUCUUGAUAAUUCUAUCUACCCCUUUUCCCUAUUCAAUAAAAAAAAAACAAAAAACAAAAAACAAAAAACAAAAAACAAAAAAAAAACAAAAAACAAAAAAAAACAAAAAAAGAAGAAGAGAGCAUGUGUCUCUUUCUUUCCAUCUCUGCUCCAUUUUUUCUUUGGACAAAAGUUCAACUUUCCCUCAUCUGAUUUCUUUCUUCUUUUUCUUGGGCUCCACACGUUUCAUAUCACCUUUUCCCUAAAUUUUCUCCUUCUCCUCCAAUCUCAACGACACAAUCUCUACUUUUUCUACUACCAAAUCACCUCUCUCUCUCCUCAUUAUUUUUCCACCCCCAACGUUCAAAACAAACAGAUUUCUUCAACUUUGAAAUCCCGCCCAAAAUCACAAAUUCUAGUUUUUCUACAUCUAUAAAUACUUUAUUAAUUGCUUCAAAAAAAAAAAAAAAGAGGAGAAAACAGGGAGUUUUGAGAAACAAAAAAAAAAGAAUCUCUCAAUUCUUGUCUAUCUACUUUAGUUAUUUAUAAGUUUUAAUUCUCAUUUUAUUGGGGGAGUAGUAGUGGAUCUAAGACCUCAAAGCCUCGUUCACUGCUCCCGUGGAAGGUAAUAAUCCGACACCGUGCUUUUACUUUUCAUGUUAGAAUUGCUGUGUUUGUUCAGAAAAAUCAUGAAAUAGAUCUGUCCAUUUUUUUGACAGUCUGAGUACAACAUAUGCUGCAUUUGUUUGGGUAUGUUCAUGCGUUACAAAGCUAUGUUUUAAUAUGUUUCGCUUUCAUCUUCCGUACUAAAAUCAUCCCUCGAAAUCUUAGGAUAUAAUAUCGUGUUUUUAAUAUGGUAGAGAAUAAUAUGUUCGAUUCCAUUUCCUUUCACAUGGAAUAGGGACGCAAACUUUAUUUUAUUUUUCUAUUUUGUUUGGAGAUACCUUUUAGCAUCAUCUCCACAAAAACGUAUUAGUAGCAUGUUUAAUUUCCAAAUACUGUUAGCUUGAAUAUGUACUUGUGAGUUAUAUUCUGAAUUGUUGUUUCUCUCAACUUUUAGAUGUCAUGGUAUUAGGAGUUUAUUUUAAUGUAUUUAUUUAAAUGAGGUCAUGGUUUAUUACUUAUUUUAUUUUAUUGUAUUAUUAUUAUUAUUAUUAUUAUUAUUAUUAUUAUUAUUAUUUUACCUGAGGCGUCAUUGUUGGGAAGUACAUAUGGCUUUAGUAGUUUUAAUUAAUUAAUUAGUAAACAUAUGAACAACCAUCCAAAUAUGUCCUACACUAGUAAUCAACUUGAGAUUUUAGAUACGGAUAUAGAAUAGUUCCAUUUUUUUAGAGUAAUUUGCUGAGUCCAGAAGUCUUGAUUUCCAACCAUUCGCUAUUUUCUUGUUGUCUUUGUUGAGAUUUAGUCUAGUUUUGCUUUCAUUAAGUUGGAUCUAUGGAUUCUCCAUAUUAAUCUUUAUUGUCUUGUUUUGUUUGCAUGAACACUUUGGAGCAAACAUGGAUUCUUAAUGCAAGACUCUUCCCGAGCAUGGACCCGGAGUCACUUUCUUUGGACUAUUAUUUUCUCUUGUCUUAACUAUGUAAAAGCCAAAAAUAGUGGAAGUAUUUCCCUACCCCCCUACUCUUUCGUGAUGCUUGGGAGAAUUAGUAUGGGUUAUAUACUUUAAUGUUAUGUCACUCUUUGCCACUUGACACCUAGGAUUCAUGUCUAAUUAAUGAAGUAGUUUGAAUCGGUAAUGAAGUUCUAUAAACCUGCUUAAUCGAUAAACCAAGCUUUAGUUCACAAAAAAGAGUUUUACUUAUUUCAUAAGUCAAAAUUUAAGUUCAAAUGACUUCUCAGAAAAACAUCAAAUCACAUUUUUACAAAUUUGCCCAGAAGUCAAUUUACUACUUUUAUCAAUUUCGUUAAAUCAAGUCACCAUUUUUUCCUCAUAUGUUGCUCAAUAUUUUAUUUUUAACAGUAUGAAGCUUUCUACAAAUUAGCUACAUUUUAUUUUCUUUGGAGGGCACAAAUUAUGCUCUUAUACUUAUAUAAUUUAAACUAAUAGAUGUUCUACUUUUUACUUUAGUGCUUUACGCAUGCAUGCAUAUUUUGUAAGAUUUCAAUAAAUAUACUUUAGUACAAUAUUUUCAAAAUAUUCAUUUUAGCCAUAUAUUAAUUAACCUAAGUUUGGCCGGAUAACCGUAGUUAACGGAUUCUAAAGAAUGCCUAACCCCUUCCUUUUAGGAUAAUAUAGAACCCUUACCUAGAAUCACACUGAUUAAGCAGACUAUUAACGGAGGUUUAGUUAGCUUUACCUUAGUUAAUUAUUAGGUGCCCUAAUUCACCUUAAAAUCAAUUAGGUGGCGACUCCUUAAAAUAAACAAAUAGGGAUCACCAAUAUGUCGUACUCUAAUUUAACCCGGUUAAAAUGGGGUAUAACAAUAUGUAUUUGGGGUAUGAGGAAAGGGAUAGGCGUUAUAUACGCAUUACCACCUGAUCAGCUGGUGCACAGUGAUGAUGAUAUAUGGAUCGGGCCGUACUUUAGCUUAUGAGUUCGGAUCCUCUUCAUGAUUCUUUUGUAUAUGUUACUCUUAUGCCUUACAUACUCGGUACAUUAUCCGUACUGACUCCCCUAUUGCUCGGGGGAUACAUUUCAUGCGCGCAGGUCUGAAGAUACAGGUUGUUGAUUCAUCUAUUAGGAUGUCAACUCAGCGGAUGUAUUUGAUGCACUCCAUUUGUUCUGGAGAUGCCAGGAUUCAGCAUGGUCUUAUGUGUAUGUUUAGAUAUGUACAUACAUAUGUUUAUGGGUAUGGCAGGGCCCUGUCCCGACCACGCUGUGUUAUGUUUCCAGUAGAGGCUUGUAGACAGUUAUGUACAGUUAGAUGGUGUCCAUACUUGAAAUUGCAUUUGUCAUCACACUCGAUUAUGAUAGCCUUAUCAGCGCAUAUAGCAUGUUCAGUAUUUUCAUACAGAUGAGUCUUUCAAAGCAGUUGAUAUAUGCAUGUUCCCUAUGA